UCUUCACUCUUUUUCCCUCUCUUUCCUUUCUCUCUCUUUGCUUUUUCUCUCUUCUCUCACCCAAUAGAAUCAUAAAUCUUCUGGUCAACAAAAAUAAAAUACAAAAAACUGAAAGCAGCAAGAAAAAGAGAAGCAACAAAAGGGCCUCGAUUUCCAAAAUAAUCAAUUAAAUAUCCUCCAAUAAUAGGUGAAAGAAUUCUUGUGAGAGAACCUAGAGAGGCAGAAAGACCUAAAAACCCUCCUCUAUCUCUCUUUCCUGCUAAUUUCGAGAUAAGGGAAGAGAGAAGAGGAUUAAUAAAC
rnacentral:ribozyme from 13 species